UACGAUAUUUUCAGUGCGAUAUUUUUGUCGACGAUUAUAUCACAAAUCGAUAUUUUCAGAAUAUCUGGAUUAUAAGUGCCUACCAAAAAACAGAUCAAAAUUUUCAUUGGAUCCUGCCAUGACAAACAUUUCCUUUGUUUUCCAACUCCCCAGAGUAUGCGGAUCUUUACAAAUUGGAUUUUGCCAACGGUAGAAAACGUAUGUGAAGUGCGUCUGAAACGAUCAUGACGUUGACAUGUGAAUGCUUAAGCAAGGCAAAUUAUGAAAAGGUUUCUACCUGCCGAGCUUAACUGAAAUCUAAUGGAAAAGAAGUCAAUUUAAUCAUUAGAGUUCAACCAUUAUUACCCGAUUAAGCCAAUACUUAUAUGGAUUUUUAGUGCAUAUAAUGAGAAGCUGGCUGUACAAAUGGUAGGGUAGAAGGAGGAGUAUCCUGGGUGCGACUGUACUUUGUUCACAAAAUCUAUGGACACACACACAUAUCAAUCAAUCUCCCAUCUUUGUUGAUUUGAACCUUAAAGGACCCAUACAAUGUUCCAUCUUAAGAUUGAUCGCCCGUUGGGAUGUAUCCUUUACAUGGGAGAAGGAAACAGAAGCGAAUGACUAUGUUCCAACUGAAGAAGGAUGAAUGAAUAAACAAAGAAUCUGUUUAAACUCCAUUAGGGAAUAUCCAUUGAAUUCUUAUAAGAGACUUCUCUUAGCGCUCUUAAUUUGUUUGCCCGACUUUCAUUUGGUUUAUAAGCGAUUUCCACUGUCAUU